UGCUUGUAUAAUGCUCAUCUCUAGGUUUGUCUGCUGCUGGAGGUCUUUUACCUCCUCCUGUGUCCAGCAGUCGUCCAGUGAAACCUCCAACAGUUCCUGCUCCAUCCACCACCUCAGGUAGUGAUGAUUGGGGAGACUUCUUCUCAGCUAGUGCAACUGGAAACAGUUCUACUAGCAGCAGUGGCAAUACAACUAGUGGGACAAACUCAAGUGGUGGUGGUGGUUGGGUUCAGUUUUAGUUUCUCUUUCAAGGACUGGAAGAUUAUGAAAAGUGCCCAAUUUUGUAUCUGAACCUUUUUAAUGCAUUACAACAGGAGGAGCUAUGUUAUAAAUAUUUUAGUAUUAUUGUAUUAUUAUCAUUAUUAUUAUUAUUAUUAUUGUUAUUUGCAAGAGAUAGUUGGAAGAAUUA